CCCAGGCUCCAGCUGCCCUUCAGAGCUCGCUAGAGCGCUGGCUGUUUGCAGAGGCUUCUCCGGCUCUUCACAGGGAGAACCAAGAAAGGAACUUGUGGAGAGGUUGCCUGUGGAGACAGAGGGUGCUGAAAGGUCCCAGAAUCAGAGGAUCACCUGCGAGGGCCUCACAGAUCCUCCCUGAGGAGCGGGGCUGUCUUCCAAAUGUCCAACGCACAUUCCACCUUCCACGGAUGGCUGGUAACUUGAGCCAAAGAUUCAUUCGCUCAAGUGGAGAAAUAUUAGUAGAUUGAAAGAGUUUGGCUUAAAAAGACUUUCGAUCCCAAGGGGAUCCCAAACCAGCGUUCCUUGCUAAGGCUCUCCAUUCAAGGCCUGCAUUCACCUUGUGGAAGAGGGAGCUGAGGAAGGAAGAGGCCUGGGAUCCGCCUGAAACUACCACGAGUACCGUAAAAGUCAUGUCAGCAGCAACUGGAUGAGAAACUGAGGCCACAGGGGCAAAGACCUUCAGAAGUCACUUGGCUGGCAGGUGGGAGAGUGGGAGCCACCAGGAGCCUCAGCUUCUACGCUGACCCCACAGGCAUUGAGUCAGGAGACCAAGAACCCCGCCCCCGCCAAGCCCUGCCGGCCUGUCAGAAAACGCACACCAACUGCUCAGGCAAAUGCAGGGAGGGUUUGGCUCGUGUUUGUGCGUAAGGGAGGGUCUAGGCACAGGGCAGCGGCCCUGGACCGAGAGGCUCCAAUAUGGCGGGAGGGUCCCAUUCCUUGUCCCCUCUCCCUAGCAGCAGGAAUCUCUGGAAUGGAAGUAUUCACUACAGCCACUAAGCUUGUGGUGUGACCUGCGGAGAGUUCCUUCCUCCCUGAGCCCGUCUCACCAGCUGUACACUGAGCACUCUGCCUUGGUCCCUGGAAGCCUUCUCUGCCAUGAGGCUGCAAGCAAGGGGACAGGAGGGUGCUGCCGCAAAGUCAGCCUUAAAGAGAGAGGGAGAGAGAAAACUGAAGUUACUCUUUUUCUCUUUUUUCCUUGGGCAGAAGUACAAUAA